rnacentral:rRNA from 1 species
AACGUAGGAGACUAGCGUUAUCCGGAUUUACUGGGCGUAAAGCGUGUGCAGGCGGUUCGGCAAGUUGGAUGUGAAAUCUCCCGGCUCAACUGGGAGGGGUCGUUCAAUACUACCGAACUUGAGGCAUCAGAGGAAGGUGGAAUUCCGGGUGUAGUGGUGAAAUGCGUAGAUAUCCGGAGGAACACCAGUGGCGAAGGCGGCCUUCUGGGAUGGCUCCUGACGCUCAGACACGAAAGCUAGGGGAGCGAACGAGG